CACGGAGUUAGCCGAUCCUUAUUCUUUAGGUACAUUCAGCUCCUUACACGUAAGAAGGUUUAUUCCCUAACAAAAGCAGUUUACAACCCAUAGGGCAGUCAUCCUGCACGCGGCAUGGCUGGUUCAGGCUUGCGCCCAUUGACCAAUAUUCCUUACUGCUGCCUCCCGUAGGAGUCUGGUCCGUGUCUCAGUACCAGUGUGGGGGAUUCUCCUCUCAGAGCCCCUAGACAUCGUCGCCUUGGUAAGCCGUUACCUUACCAACUAGCUAAUGUCACGCGAGCCCAUCCAUAUCCUAUAAAUAUUUAAAUGUGAUAACAUGUGUUACUACAUUGUUAUGCGGUGUUAAUCCGAAUUUCUUCGGGCUAUCCCCCUGAUAUGGGUAGGUUGCUCACGCGUUACGCACCCGUGCGCCACUCUCAAAUCGGGUAGCAAGCUACCCUCAGAUCCCGUUCGACUUGCAUGUAUUAGGCCUGCCGCUAGCGUUCAUCCUGAGCCAGGA
rnacentral:rRNA from 1 species